rnacentral:lncRNA from 1 species
AGGUGGAACUUGACUCUGAGGAUCAUUGACUGUAACUGGGGGCUGCAUCCCCACUGUGUUUUACUCUGUUUUCAUGUGUGCAUCAGCUUCCCACAUCCACCACCUCCACAGCUACAGAUUGAUCUACUGUGGAUCCAAGGACUCUGAUCAGAUUCCAUCAGUGCUCAGCAGCACCAGCCUUUUCUUUGUCCACAUUCCUUGAGCAUCAUAGUAUACUUGGCAUGGUAGCAGCUACCCUCAUUAAGCUGGAGGGGGUAUAAAGUGCAGGAGGGUCGCGUGGGUUCUACACAGAUAACAUUCCACUUAGAUACAAGGGAUUGAGCAUCAGGGUUUUGCUGUUGGCAGAGGGUCCUGGAAGCAGUUCUCCUGGGAUUCCACAGGCAGACUGUAUUCCACUGUUUCUUAAUACUGAAAGUUGUUUAAUUCUGUUUUCUCUAAAGGUCUACAAAAGUAAAAGACUUAGACAUCCUUGGUCAUGUGUCUAGUGUAUGUAAUGGGGCUUCAGAAUUUACUGUUGGAAAUGUUGGAAAGGGUAAGGAAAACAGGCAGCCAAGUUCACGUUCAUGGUUUUAGGAUUUCUUCUGUUUUUCAUCACUGGCUAAAACUGAUAGGGAAUUCUUUUGUUUCUGCCAAGUUAGCUGAUAAAAAGACCCCCCCCCUUUUUUUUUUUUACAAAUACCUAGAAGUAAUAUAUAAAAAUCCAUCAAAUGUAAAGAUCCUUAGGUGCCAGAAAUAGUGAAGAAUAUGUAAAUUACAGUAGAAAGUCUAACUAAUCCGGUGGCCACCAGCAGCACACUACUCAGUCUGAUGUUCUACAAGGUUGAGUUUUUGACUCCAUGCUGUGACUCUUGAAAUUGGGACUGUGGGUCCACCUGGAGGAAAUGUUCAGCUGAGUUUCUGCUUAGAGGACCGUCAGAAAAUAUCUUCCUCAUUUAUGCAUAUGAGUUUUUUUGCCUCUGUGUAUAUAUAUAGCACAUACAAGAAGCUGCCCUUCUCAGUCAUUUCCAAGAAGCAACAAAAUCUCUCAUUGUUUUGACUUUCCUUCCUACAGAUCGAGAGUCUGAAUUUGUACUCGCCACACUAAAUGUGUACCCAGCACCUUAAGCAGAGAAAUAACGAUUGUUAGGCAGCUUCAGAAGUGCACUCGAACACCUGCCGACCCAGGUCCCAUACAUAGCUCUGGGCCCGACAUGCCCGACUCAAGCUGCUGUCAGCUGUUCCAAUGUAAGGUGAACUAGAGUUAGCAUACAAUAGCAUUAGUUCUUCAAAGAAUCAAGCAAGACUUUUAGAGCUGAAAGAUUCAGAUAAAAUGUGUGGGCUGGACUCUUGAUUUGCUCCUGACUGAAUAAAGUGUGAAGAAAGAACUUAACAGUGAAGAGGCUUGGUGGACAGGCACCUUCUCCACUAAGUGAUCAUACAGCCUAACGAACUCCCGGAGCUGUGCAGUAAGAAAGGCGCAUUGCCUCGUGAAGCUUUUCACCUCAGAGAGCCCCAGGCUGAGGAAUAUGCUAUAGAAUACUCAACCAGUAUUUGUCAGAAGUGUUAAGC